CAAAAGCGUAUAUUAAAGUUGUUGCAGUUAAAAAGCUCGUAGUUGAACCUUGGGCUUGGUUGGCCGGUCCAUCUUUUUGAUGCGUACUGGACCCAACCGAGCCUUUCCUUCUGGCUAGCCUUUUGGCGAACCAGGACUUUUACUUUGAAAAAAUUAGAGUGUUCAAAGCAGGCCUUUGCUCGAAUAUAUUAGCAUGGAAUAAUAGAAUAGGACGUUAUGGUUCUAUUUUGUUGGUUUCUAGGACCAUCGUAAUGAUUAAUAGGGACGGUCGGGGGUAUCAGUAUUCAGUUGUCAGAGGUGAAAUUCUUGGAUUUACUGAAGACUAACUACUGCGAAAGCAUUUACCAAGGACGUUUUCAUUA
rnacentral:rRNA from 1 species